UGGCAUCUUGAAGGACGUCUCAGCAUCUCAAAGGGCAUCUUGGCAUCUUGAAGGACAUCUUGGCGUUGUCUUGACUGCUGCCCCACUGUGGGUGGAUGUUCCUUUUGGGGGAGACAGUGGGGAUGGGGGGAGGCCCACCUGCAUCCCACUGCCUCGCAUGAGGUCCUCGUGGAUCUCGUAGAUCUGGCUCUCCAUCUCCACCUUCUGCAGGCCGUUGUCGGACACCUUCACCCUCAGCACACGAAAGUUGGUGCCGCCCAGGUCCAGUGCCAAGAAGUCUCCGUCCUCUGGGGAAGAGAAAGCCAGGGGUGAACCCCAAAAUUCAAACCACAGGGGUGAGCCCCAAAACCACAGAGAUUAACCCCAAAACUCUACAGGAGUAAACCUCCAAACUCCCCAAGGGUGAACCACAAAGAUCUACUGGGAUGAGCCCCAGAAGCACAGGAGUUAGCCCCAAAACUCUACAGCAGCCAGCCCCAAAAUGACAGGGAUUAACCCCAAAACCCUACAGGGGUGAAUCCCAAAACUCGACAGGAGUCAGCCCCAAAACCACAGGAUUGAACCCCAAAACUCGACAGGGGCUGGCCCCGGAACUCCACAGGAAUGAACCCCAAAACCACAGGGGUUAUCCCCAAAACCAUAGGCUUGAACCCCAAAAUUACAGUUGUUAGCCUCAAACUCUACACGGUUACCCCAAAACCACAGGGCUGAACCCCAAACCUCCACAGGGGUUACCCAAAAAAACCACAGGGUGAUCCCCCAGCGCCGCAGGUCCUGUAAGGUCACAGCGCCGGACCCAUUCCCGACUGUUGACGCAAGAAUCCCAAGAGAGCUCUCCCACCCCCUCCCCACGCUCUGCCCUUCCCCGGCGUUGCACAGGAGAUGCUCUGGGAGGAAACCCGAGCGCUGCUCUGGGAACGCAGCCCAGCAAAAUCCUCAGCACUGCCGGCACGUGGCUGCAUGCCGGCCCGUUCCUCUGGGGACAUGGAUGGUGACUUCAUGGAGCCUUCGUGACAUUGGUGGGUGCAGACGUGAGGACACAGAUGGUGACAUCAUGGAGCCUUCGUGAUGUCACUGUGCACAGGACAUGGACAUGGAUGGUGGCUUCUGGAGCCUUCGUGACAUCAGAGUGCAUGGGGACACGGAGCCAUGGAUGGUGGCUUCCCGGAGCCUUCAUGACGUUGGUGUGCACGGGGACACGGAGACACGGAUGGUGACCUCAUGGAGCCUUGGUGACGUUGGUGUGCAUGGAGACACAGACACAGACCCUGCGGUGGCGGCUUCACGGAGCCUUCACGGCGCCGCUGUUUGCAGGGACGUGGGGACAUGGGCAGUGACUUCCUGGAGCCUUGAUGACAUCGGUGUGUGCGGGAACACGGAGACACGGAUAGCGCCCAGGGCAUGGAUCCAAGAAAGCAGAUCCCAGCAGCCGAGGAGUGAGCAGAGAGCCGUCCCUGCCAUGCCCAGGUCGGAGCUGCAGAGCUCCGGUUUCCACCCCACAGCCCCGGAGGUUCGGGCUCUGGGCGCUGCCUCGCGCCGCGAUAAGACACAAGCAAACAGGAAGGCAAACAGCACGGCUAACAGCAAGCUCACUGCCAGGGGCUGUUUGCUCUCUGCAAAGGGCCCAAAGAUAAGCACUCUGUUCCCCAUUCUGCAGAGCUGUGGGGAAAGCAAUGCUGAGGUGCCCAGCAAGCAGAGCUCGCUCCCCUGGUGCUGAGCACGCCGUGCCCUCACCCUACACCUUGUGCCCUCACCCUACACCUUGUGCCCUACCCCUACAUAUCGUGCUCUCACCCUACAUCUCGUGCCCUACCCCUACAUCUCGUGCCCUCACCCUACACCUCGUGCCCUCACCCUACACCUUGUGCCCUCACCCUACAUCUCGUGCCCUACCCCUACAUCUCGUGCCCUACCCCUACACCUUGUGCCCUACCCCUACACCUUGUGCCCUCACCCUACACCUUGUGCCCUACCCCUACAUCUCGUGCCCUCACCCUACAUCUCGUGCCCUACCCCUACAUCUUGUGCUCUCACCCUACAUCUCGUGCCCUCACCCUACAUCUCAUGCCCUACCCCUACAUGUCGUGCUCUCACCCUACAUCUCGUGCCCUACCCCUACAUCUUGUGCCCUCACCCUACAUCUCGUGCCCUACCCCUACAUCUUGUG